rnacentral:rRNA from 1 species
GACGAACCGUCCAAACGUUAUUCGGAAUCACUGGGCUUAAAGGGUGCGUAGGCGGAGAGGCAAGUCAGGGGUGAAAGCCCACGGCUCAACCGUGGAAGUGCCCCUGAAACGGCCUCUCUCGAGGGAGAUAGGGGCGUGCGGAACUCAGAGUGGAGCGGUGAAAUGCGUAGAUAUUCUGAGGAACACCGGUGGCGAAAGCGGCACGCUGGGUCUUUUCUGACGCUGAGGCACGAAAGCUAGGGGAGCAAACGGG